GACGAACGCUGGCGGCGUGCUUAACACAUGCAAGUCGAACGAUGAAGCCGGAGCUUGCUCUGGUGAAUUAGUGGCGAACGGGUGAGUAACACGUGAGUAACCUGCCCUUGACUCUGGGAUAACUGCGGGAAACUGUAGAUAAUACCGGAUACGACCCUCGGAGGCAUCUCCUGGGGGUGGAAAGAAUUUCGGUCAAGGAUGGACUGGCGGCUUAUCAGCUAGUUGGUGAGGUAAAGGCUCACCAAGGCGACGACGGGUAGCCGGCCUGAGAGGGGCAGCGGCAACACGGGGACUGAGACACGGCCCAGACUCCUACGUGGGGCAGCAGUGGGGAGUAUUGCACAAGGGGCGCAAGCCUGAUGCAGCAACGCCGCGUGAGGGAUGACGGCCUUCGGGUUGUAAAACUCUUUUAGCAGGGAAGAAGCGAAAGUGACGGUACCUGCAGAAAAAGCACCGGCUAACUAUGUGCCAGCCGCCGCGGUAA
rnacentral:rRNA from 1 species